rnacentral:rRNA from 1 species
GACAGAGGGUGCAAACGUUGUUCGGAAUUACUGGGCGUAAAGCGAGUGUAGGCGGUUUGGUAAGUCGGAUGUGAAAGCCCCGGGCUCAACCCGGGAAGUGCACUCGAUACUGCCAAGCUAGAGUAUCGGAGAGGUUGGUGGAAUUCUCGGUGUAGUGGUGAUAUGCGUAGAUAUCGGGAGGAACACCUGUGGCGAAGGCGGCUUUUCUGGGCCCUACCUGACGCUGAGACGCGAAAGCGUGGGAGCGAACCGG